rnacentral:rRNA from 1 species
GUCCACGCCGUAAACGAUGAGCACUAGUUGUUGGGUCCGAAUGGAUUCAGUGACGCAGUUAACGCAAUAAGUGCUCCGCCUGGGGAGUACGGUGGCAACACUAAAACUCAAAGGAAUUGACGGGGACCCGCACAAGCAGCGGAGCAUGUGGUUUAAUUCGAAGCAACGCGAAAAACCUUACCAGGGCUUGACAUCCCUCUGACCGCACUUUUAACAGGUGCUUUCUUCGGACAGAGGAGACAGGUGGUGCAUGGUUGUCGU